AAGCCGAGGCUCGGGCUCCCAGGAGGACGGAAGGGAAACCGCGUUGCCAGCCACCUCGCUUACUCAACCCAGGACACCCAGCUUUCCCGUAGAUGGCCCUGGGGACUCUUUCGUUUGUGGAGUGUGUGUGCGUGCGGGUGGUGGCCCUCCUUUCCCCGUGUACAAAUUUGUGCCUUUACCUGGCGAUGAAUGGUGUGGGCGCAAUCUGGCAGUGGGAGUGUUCGGGUCCGAUUUCCAGAAGCCCCAGGUGUGGGUCACAGCUGAGAGCUAUUACAGGCCAAGCCAGGCCCUGGCCCCUUCCCUCCCCCACCCAACUGCUCCUGCCCCCACCAGCUCUUCCGGGGGACCCAGACUUUGAGGUUGAGGAGAAGAGAGGUGUCAGCCAGAGGUCAUUUGGGAAGAACAUAGAAUCCCUGUUUGGCAGAGGGGUGAUGAGGUUGUGAUUGAAGAGGGGGCUCCCCUCCGUUAUUACAUUUCUGGUGGGCUAUUCCUGUGAGUCCAGGAACACCCCAGUUGUAUGCGAUUCAAACGCUGCAGCCCUCAGCUGUUCCCUCUUUCUUCUAGCUCCCUCUUGAAUACCUUUCUUUCUUUUUGCCUUUCCCUCUACUCGAGCUUAACUGGCUUUCCCUCACCUCUGUCCCUUUAUUGCCAGUCUCUGCCUCAAGCCUUGCUGGCUUCACUUAAUUGCCUUUGCUGCUGGCAUGAUCCCAACCCGGACACACUCCCUUCUCCUCGGAGCCAAGGCAGCCAGCCUCCUUUUCCUUCAAAACCCAGCUCCAAACUCUUCCUUCCUGAAGGUCCUCGGAGACCAGCACUGGGAUGUCCCACGUGGCUUUACUUCUCCCUCCCCAAAGUGCUAGUUGUUGUCAUCCUUGAUGGCUGUCCUGGGGCUGCUGCACGGGACCCCCAGGAAACUGAAAGAAGUAUGCCAAGAGCUGCUAUUCUUCCUGCAAGGAGCAAAUCUUUGCCUUAAAUUAAAUCUUAAACAGAAGCCCAACAUAAAUAAACCAGGUCUCCUACAAGUUCACCGUGUAGGUAAGAGCCGGCAUUGCUCUGGUUAAAUAGGGGACCCAGAGUACCUGCGCCUUCCCACCUGCAGCAGCCCCUGCAGCCCCCGAAGCACCCCCAUGGACCUAGGGUUCCACAAAAUAUGGUGCAAAAACCAACCAGCCAGCUUCUGUGUCCCUCGAGAACAUCCCUUCCACCCUGUCCUGCUUGCAGUCUUUCUCAGGAACUUUGAGAGAAAUAAAUGGAAGCAAGGUAAAUGGAUCUUAUUUAUUUGUGGGAUGGGGCAGGGGUGAGCAUCUUCCCUCAAUGUGCUCUUAGGUCUGGGAAGUGACACAUGGGUGGUGGGGCCCUCCUCCAAGCCAGUUAUCCUCGUGUUAAUCCCAUGGAAACAGAACAGAAAUCUUCAUUCAUCAGACCCGACUGGACCAGCUCCCGCCAGCAUUCUGAGGAGCAUGUGGGAGAGUGGGGACAGCACGGGACCAGGAGCCAAGAUGUCAGCGUCUCAGGCUUGCUCCACCACUAGCGAGCAGGUGAUCUUGGAUGAGCCAGAGCCACCUGAGAGGACACCUCUCCUGUACCCCCUUCAGAGUGCCUUUGAGGGCCAAAUAAAGUAGCCUUGCACAUUGCAUACCCUUAGCCACUUAG
ensembl:lncRNA